UGCGUAAUAGCUCACUGGUCGAGAGGUCCUGCGCCGAAAAUGUCCGGGGCUGAAACACACUGCCGAAGCUCAGGAACUUACGAACGUAGGUUGGUAGAGGAGCAUUCUUAACGGGACGAAGCGGUACCGGAAGGAGCCGUGGACUGUUAAGAAGAGAGAAUGCCGGAAUGAGUAGCGAGAAUUAUGUGGGAAUCAUAAUGGCCGAAAAUCUAAGGUUUCUUGGGGAAGGUUCGUCCGCCCAAGGUAAGCCGGGAGCUAAGGCGAGGCCGAAAGGCGUAGUCGAUGCACAUACGGUAGAAAUUCCGUAACCACCGAACCUUAAGCAUAGGGGACACUUUGGAAUAGCCGAACCCGGGCGUUGGUUGACCC
rnacentral:rRNA from 1 species